AAGUGUGUAUACAUUAUUUUUGGUCCGUUGUUGGUGAGAAAAGUAAUGAUACAUUUUGCACUUUUUGUUUAUUCUUGUCUAAAGUAAGUUUGAAUUCAUCCCGUAAGAUAAGUAUUAAACUCAGGAUGGGUUUACUGAAUAAACCAUUACACAACCUUAAGAAAUGACUGGUUCUCAGUCUUCGAAUGUAAGAUUGGGAAUCGGUAGUAUGUAUUAGUAGGUAGUGAAUAUGUCUCAUUAUUCUUAUUAUUUUAAGAGGUUAAAGGUUUGGGAUUCCUUUUAAGCUGACAGGCUUGCUGUCCUGUCGAGGAUGUUCUUCUAACUGCUCUGGAUGAAGCCAGGUCAAUAUCCCGACCCGAAGAACAUUCCACUGUUUGCUGAAAGAUGCAUCCAUGAUGGCCAGUGCCUUGCCAUACAGAAAUGUUGCCCAACCACCCGUGGCCAUGCACGCAGUGAACCAAGCAGUCAGGGCCAGGGAAGAGGUCAGGGCCACGGUCGGUGAUAUGGUCAGGGGAAAUUAUGGACUUUGAAACUUUCAUAGGAAUUUUGCAUGACACAUUCUUGAGGGCUUUUCAAUUCAGUACUUUAUCCAUAUGCUGCCUCCCCUUUUUUGCUGCGACCAUUAAAGAUUUUCUCCCUCCUUCCCUGAAAUAAAAA